rnacentral:rRNA from 1 species
GGGGAAUAUUGGGCAAUGGACGCAAGUCUGACCCAGCAACGCCGCGUGAAGGAAGAAGGCUUUCGGGUUGUAAACUUCUUUUAAGGGGGAAGAGUAGAAGACGGUACCCCUUGAAUAAGCCACGGCUAACUACGUGCCAGCAGCCGCGGUAAUACGUAGGUGGCAAGCGUUGUCCGGAUUUACUGGGUGUAAAGGGCGUGUAGCCGGGAAGGUAAGUCAGAUGUGAAAUCUGGGGGCUCAACCUCCAAACUGCAUUUGAAACUGUAGUUCUUGAGUGAUGGAGAGGCAGGCGGAAUUCCGAGUGUAGCGGUGAAAUGCGUAGAUAUUCGGAGGAACACCAGUGGCGAAGGCGACUUUCUGGACUAUAACUGACGCUGAGAUACGAAAGCGUGGGGAGCAAACA